GCCUCUAUGGCACAGGGGUAAUGCGUGUCACUCGUACUGGAGCUUUAAUCCUACGAUGGUAUGACAAGAUCCGCGGUUCGAUUCCGCGUGGAGGCA